UUAAACGCGAUGAUGAGAAGAGUACGCUUGGGAUGGUCCUUGCAGAGAGCCCGCGCAUGGUGCAAGCGGGCAGGAACCGGACAGCGGAACAUGGCCUCGGAGCAGUGUCGACAAGCACGGGUGUGUCAGUCGGCAACGGGUGCGCCCGUUACAGCGUCCGGCUGUAAACGCCCAUUCGGCGCCGCAGCAAACGAGGCGGGCAUCGUGAGGUGUCUGUAAAGCAGGGUGGGAUCACGAAUCUAUUUCGUCCCUGUG
rnacentral:ncRNA from 1 species